rnacentral:rRNA from 1 species
GGCGAAAUUGUAGUGCAAGUGAAGAUGCUUGCUACCCGCGAUUGGACGGAAAGACCCCGUAGAGCUUUACUGUAGCUUAGCAUUGAAUCUCGGUAUUGUCUGUACAGGAUAGGUGGGAGACUUGGAAGCUUGGGCGUCAGCCUGAGUGGAGUCAUCCUUGGGAUACCACCCUGACAGUACUGGGGUUCUAACCGGCGGCCAUGAAUCUGGUCACGGGACAUUGUUAGGUGGGCAGUUUGACUGGGGCGGUCGCCUCCUA